AGCGUCGAAGUGAAAUGAUACGAAAUUCGAGCCUCACACCAAUUUGUUCCCCAAUUUUACACAACUUCCAUCAGAAACGACAAUAAAUAGUAGAUUAGAAGAAAAGAUCCGCUAUGAGCGCAAGAAUCUCAACUAGAAACCAAGUCACUCACCACCAACUUGCGCAACAAUCCGUGAAAAAGAACCCAAGCCCAAGCCCAUAAUCCCCAAAACAGAAAUCCCUAACCAUUUCCAACAAAAACAUGCACAAAUUUCCAAGUUCACCAUCAGAUCACAUCCUUGAAGCAAGAAAAAUCUUCCUAGAUUUAGCAAAAAUUAAAAGUAAACCUCAAAAUUGAAUGUUUUCAAGCGUAUCUUUAAGGGGGGUUUACGAUCUCCCAAAAAAAGGCGACAUGCUUUUAUUAACAUAAAACUGAAAAUUAAAAUCUUACUAGGGUUUUGGAAUUGAGCGAUGAGGGGGAUCUCCACAGGUUUUAAGCUGUAGAGGAAAAGCUAGCUUUUAAGCUGAUAAUGAGUGAUCUAAGUUAGCAACUCACUU
rnacentral:lncRNA from 1 species